AAAGCGGGAGGGACAAAUUGCCAAUGUUUGGAAUCUGGUUUCCAGGUUGCUGUUUUUGGGGGCUCUGGGUGUGGCGGUUGCCGUAGCUGAAAUCCGCUGCACCAUGUCGGCCUUCGAGAAGCCUCAGAUCAUCGCCCAUAUCCAGAAGGGCUUCAACUACACGGUGUUUGACUAUUGAAAAGGCCAAACCUAUUAAAUGUGGAACAUUUGGUGCAACAUCUUUACAGCAGAGAUAUUUAGCUACUGGAGAUUUUGGUGGAAACCUUCAUAUAUGGAAUUUAGAAGCUCCAGAGAUGCCAGUAUAUUCUGUAAAGGGCCAUAAAGAAAUUAUAAAUGCCAUAGAUGGCGUAGGUGGACUAGGAAUUGGAGAAGGAGCACCUGAAAUUGUGACUGGCAGCCGAGAUGGAACUGUGAAGGUGUGGGACCCAAGGCAAAAAGAUGAUCCUGUUGCUAAUAUGGAACCUGUACAAGGAGAAAACAAGAGAGACUGUUGGACUGUGGCAUUUGGCAAUGCUUAUAAUCAAGAAGAACGUGUUGUUUGUGCGGGCUAUGACAAUGGGGAUAUCAAACUAUUUGAUCUCAGAAAUAUGGCAUUACGGUGGGAGACAAACAUCAAAAAUGGGGUGUGUAGCUUGGAGUUUGACAGAAAAGACAUAAGUAUGAAUAAGUUAGUAGCCACAUCUCUGGAAGGAAAGUUCCAUGUUUUUGACAUGAGAACACAGCAUCCAACCAAAGGUUUUGCCUCUGUUUCAGAAAAGGCUCAUAAAUCUACUGUGUGGCAGGUCCGACACCUGCCGCAGAACAGGGAGCUCUUUCUGACAGCUGGAGGCGCCGGCGGCCUUCACCUCUGGAAGUAUGAAUACCCUAUUCAGCGGUCAAAGAAAGAUUCUGAGGGAAUAGAGAUGGGAGUCGCAGGUUCUGUAAGCCUUCUGCAGAAUGUUACGUUGUCCACCCAGCCCAUUUCAAGUUUGGAUUGGAGUCCAGAUAAAAGGGGUCUCUGCGUCUGUAGUUCAUUUGACCAAACGUGCUCAGAGCACAGAAGUUUUCUGCUGUCUUUGGAAUCUUGUCUGCAAACAGCUCGAUGGAGAUGCGGCCCAAGGGCUCACUGUCGAUGGCGAUUUUGAAGAACACCGUGGAGUUGACCACGCUGGUAGUACAGGGCUUCCGGUGGCGUCGGCAUCUGCUAGCUAUGUUUUUUAAAAGGGGCAGUACAAAGUCACGUGCAGUAGAACAUGAACGGCGCAGCUUACCUCAUGCGUGUCCAUAAACUCACCAAAGG
rnacentral:sRNA from 1 species